CGCUGACUCGCAUACGCAAACGCGUUCGUAUACGUUUUUCUUUCGUUCCCGAAUCGGAGAAACCUCUGGCUCUUUUCACUGCAAACUCUGCAUCUUGACCGCGUUUUUUUUUUUCAAAGGCUGUGUACGCCAUUUGCUUCCGGCAUCCCUGCCUCACUCUCACACACACGCACACCUCCACUCCCCUCCUCUAUGCCGUACGUGUCCAGCGCAUCACCGAUGUUGGCUGGUCGCUCGCUUUUGCUGUCUCAGAAUCGCCUGGGAUGUCACCGUGCUGCUCUUCUCGGCGGCGCUGCGGCGAAUCUGCGUGUCUCUACUCGUCUAUCGACGGCAUCAGCGGCCACCAGCCGCGCACAGAGUGGUGCCCUCACCGUCUCCAAGCGUCAAUACCUCGGAUCCACGGUUAUCCCAAACUUCAUAACCCACUGCACUCAGAUCGGCGCCUGCACGUCUCUCUCCACCAUUCUCUAUAGUCCCAUCGGCACUGCCAUGACGAUCGUGCUCGCUUACAACGUCAUUGUGAUAUGCUCCAAGCAUGUGAACUACUCGCUGGAGAUUACGGCGAAGGACUACGUGCAGGACCAGCAACUACUGACUAUCAUGCGCUACGGCAUUCUUAGCUGCAUUCUUCUCGGGAUGGAGGUUAUGUUUAUCGAGAUUUGACAUGCUGCGCGGAGGGCAGGCAUGCCUCUGAGCAUGUAAAUCUGUGUCCCUGUUCACGUGUCUGCGCCCGGUUUGGGCACGACGAAGCCGCGCGAAACACUUGCCUCACCUUUUGCUCUCGCGUAUUUUCAGAAAGCGUGAAAGGCAUCUCAUCCGCGGGCGCGUGUCGUUGCUGUUUCCAGGCCAUACGGAAUGUUGGGCUGGGGUCACAGCUGCUCUGCCCGGCCAGUGUAUGUGUGUCUUGGACUUAAAAGAAGGGGGGAUUCCGUCCUUAUCCUCUUUGUGCAGCCCACUCAGUGCCUCGCGUAUUCAUGGGACGUGGCGUGCAAUCCGGGGUAGGCCAAAGUCGAGAAGAUGCACGUGAUGCGAUCUCGAGCAGAUCUGGAGAGAUGGAAAUGGCGCUCAUCUCUUUGUUUUUUUUUCUUAGGAAGCACACGGCACCGCCGGACUGGGAGAGGCCGAUGCCCAAGAACGGAGAAAAAAUAAAGUGCAUCCGUGCAGAAGCGGCACCGCACAGCCGCCCUUCCCAUGGCCUUUCUUAUGUUCUGGUAGAAAACGACCCCUUCCAGCUCGUGUGUGCCCAGUCGCUAUUAUAUAUAUAUAUAUAUAUAUAUGUAUACAUUCGCUGUUUUCGUUUGGCUGUCGUCUUUUAUCGGCGUUUCUGAUUUGUGUCGUAGCGUUAGUUUGGUCGGCUCCCCUCCCUCCUCCCCUAGCAUGAACGCUUAAGAAGUACCUCCUCUGAUGUCGUGUAGGUAUCUCUUCCCAUGAUGGUGCCAGCCACCGCACCGCGGUAUCAGGGUCCAGUGCCCCCACUCCGUGGGGAGCCCAAGAGCCUGCAUCCUGUCCUCGGGUACGGGUGCGGACUCUUGGUGCCAGCGGGCAGCUCUGUGCUGACACGGUGCGGGGGAGACGUGCGGUCGUGAUCACAUUUGUAUCAGCUCACUACGCAUCGUGCCGACGACCCAGCACGUAGUGGAAGAAGCGAUCCGUACCCAUCACCCCCUCCCCUACAGCGCAUGUGUGCGAAGCGCGUGGCACCUGCUGCAUCCGGCCGGGUGGGCCGAUGAGGUGCAGAUGCCGGCAGCAUGACGAGAGCACCCUCGAGUUGCACCACCGGGUCCUCCAGACUCCCGUGUGAAGAGCCUCCACACCAUAGUGUGGCAUGCCGCGGCUUGAAGCGACUGAGAGCGCGAAGCAAGGCACACGGGCAGGGUGCGCAGGGUCUCAGAAGGCCCUGACCUGAGGCUGGCCAACUUCCUCUCUGCGCCCAUCCAGCAUGCGAGUAACCCCCCCCUGCCUACCACCCGCACGGCCGACGCCACCGCUUGUGCCCUCGAGCAGCACCCUGGCCGCGGCCCGCGUUGGAUCGAUGCGUGCAGUCCAUCUGCGUCUCCGUGUGGGGCCGUUCACGGAGCACGCAUGCAUAGAAGGGACGAGGAAGGGAUGAGAAGAGCCCGUUCGGCGCAUGACCCCGAGAUGCAACGGCAGGGCGGCUCGUCCGAGACGACGACGGAUGUAGCUGCAGUGCGGCAGAGGUGGAUGAGCUGUGGCUGAGCAUGCGUAUACGUUUGCCGGCGUGACCUCGUGGUGAGGCGGCAUGUUGAAAAUGUUUUAAAAGGGCGUUAUCCCAUCGCCAUUUGCGUCUCUGCGUGCGUGUGCGUGUGUGUGCCGAUCGGAUGCGCAGCUUCUAGGACAGAGGAGAGGUACAUAGCGAGACGAAGAGGAGUCAGAAUGCCGCGUCUACUCCCCACGCUCACGCACAGGCCGAGCAACCCCCUCCCUUCCCUCUCAGCUGUGUACGUUGAGCUCCACACACGGAACGAG
rnacentral:misc_RNA from 1 species